rnacentral:rRNA from 1 species
ACUCCUGCGGGAGGCAGCAGUGGGGAAUUUUGGACAAUGGGCGAAAGCCUGAUCCAGCAAUGCCGCGUGUGUGAAGAAGGCCUUCGGGUUGUAAAGCACUUUUGUCCGGAAAGAAAUCCUUGGCGCUAAUACAGUCGGGGGAUGACGGUACUGGAAGAAUAAGCACCGGCUAACUACGUGCCAGCAGCCGCGGUAAUACGUAGGGUGCGAGCGUUAAUCGGAAUUACUGGGCGUAAAGCGUGCGCAGGCGGUUUGCUAAGACCGAUGUGAAAUCCCCGGGCUCAACCUGGGAACUGCAUUGGUGACUGGCAGGCUAGAGUAUGGCAGAGGGGGGUAGAAUUCCACGUGUAGCAGUGAAAUGCGUAGAGAUGUGGAGGAAUACCGAUGGCGAAGGCAGCCCCCUGGGCCAAUACUGACGCUCAUGCACGAAAGCGUGGGGAGCAAACAGGAUUAGAAACCCCAGUAGUCCCA